UACGUAGGGUCCGAGCGUUAUCCGGAAUGAUUGGGCGUAAAGCGUCCGCAGGUGGCAAUGUAAGUCUGCUGUCAAAGCGUCUGGCUCAACCAGAUAAAGGCAGUGGAAACUACAUAGCUAGAGUAAGGUAGGGGUAGAGGGAAUUCCUGGUGUAGCGGUGAAAUGCGUAGAGAUCAGGAAGAACACCGGUGGCGAAGGCGCUCUGCUAGGCCGUAACUGACACUGAGGGACGAAAGCUAGGGGAGCGAAUGGG
rnacentral:rRNA from 1 species